rnacentral:lncRNA from 1 species
CCUCUUGCCCUGGACCCAAGAAAGACCAGAGUCCCUCUGGAAUUUUGACAUGUAUGGAUGUGUGGAGAAAAAACUUUGUUUUCCCAGGAAGUUUGGUCAUCUGGUCUGCCUUUAGGCUGCUGGUGGUUCUCUUCCCCUCCAUGUGGAAAAUACUGUCUGCAGUAGGAGCCUGGGAGUAUGGAGCUAAGGAGAGACACACAGAGGUGAGGAGGGACAGGUGGAAAGAGACUAUCUUCAUUCACACCAGCCAUUUGAGUGCUUAUCUGAACUGGGUUUCUUUCUGCACGUACAGACGAAAAACUACAGUUCACCUGGAAAGGCCAGAGAACUUGCAUCUGAGAGCUUCCACUUAUCUUCCCUUCUGAUUCCUUGUAUUUCACUUGGUUUCACUAAAAUGCUGCAUCAGUGAGCUCUG